AUUGAACGCUGGCGGAAUGCUUUACACAUGCAAGUCGAGCGGCAGCGCGGGGGCAACCCUGGCGGCGAGCGGCGAACGGGUGAGUAACAUAUCGGAACGUACCCCGUCGUGGGGGAUAACACAGCGAAAGCUGUGCUAAUACCGCAUACGACCUGAGGGUGAAAGCGGGGGAUCGCAAGACCUCGCGCGAUGGGAGCGGCCGAUAUCGGAUUAGCUUGUUGGUGAGGUAAAGGCUCACCAAGGCGACGAUCCGUAGCUGGUCUGAGAGGACGACUAGCCACACUGGAACUGAGACACGGUCCAGACUCCUACGGGAGGCAGCAGUGGGGAAUUUUGGACAAUGGGGGGCAACCCUGAUCCAGCCAUUCCGCGUGAGUGAAGAAGGCCUCGGUUGUAAAGCUCUUUCUAGCAGGAACGAAACGGU
rnacentral:rRNA from 1 species